rnacentral:lncRNA from 1 species
AGUUGCUAUGGUAAUUAAGUUUAUAAGAAAUCUAAAUGUAAUGGGAUGGUCACUUUUGUGGUUAUUUCCUGUUGUGUAUUUGUAAGAAAGCAGUAAAACGAAGAAAACAAAAAAGAAAAUCAUAUCAUCUGAGGUUCAAAGAGAAAGAAAAUAACAUGUAAGUUGUAACUAUAUAAUUAUCUGAUAUAUAUAUAUACGAUUAAUAAUGACAAAUACAAUAUGAAAUUUUAAUCUGAGGGAUGUUGUAAAAAAUUAAAACAUAUAUUAAUUUCUAUCAUUUUAUAAUGUUGAUCUUGAAGUUUAUACGUUUCGGGAGAAAUAUUUUCUAGAUUUUAAAUCAUUUCAAUCCUAUUAAUCAUAAUGAAAUAUUUGCCAAUGAACAUUAGUAUCUUCAAACAAAUUGUAAAUUACCAAUAUUUUAAUAGUUUUUUUUCUAAAAUCUAUAACCAUGAUAACGAUAACAUUUAUGACCAUUACUGAUGUUAAUGGAAAAAAAUCUGAAAUAUAAAUGAAUUUGUUUUAGUUUUAUUGUAUUUCUAAAUCGCAUGCAAACAUAUACGAUAUAUUUGUGAAACCUGAUCAAUGACAUAUACACACUUGCAUGUAUAACAGUGUAUUAGAUAUCAAAUAGAGUAUUUAUUUCUUAAUCUUAUUUAAAAAUCUUAUCUAAAUUCAUUGCAAGAAUAUGUUGUUAUUUGUAUAUAAUGAUACGGACUCGACUGAAUUUAGUUUUUUGUCCUCGGCAAAACUUUUGCAAAACAAAACCGGGAGGUGGGGUAAAAAACUAUACCACACAGACGGAUAUUUAUAAAAGAAAAAGACUAUAAAUUAGUGUCUGAAUUACUUGAAGUAGCUUUUCUUUGUAAUAUACAAUUUUACCUUUUAAUAUAAAUUUAUAGGUCAGGUAUUUGAGUAUUACAGAAGACAAAAUAAAUCAGAGUGCAAAAGGAAAACAAAAAGAACUAGGAAUAAUAAGAAUUAUUGACAACAUCCUGGCUAGAAAAUGCAUGGGAAUGGAGAUGGG